rnacentral:rRNA from 1 species
CCUACGGGCGGCUGCAGUGAGGAAUAUUGGUCAAUGGACGAGAGUCUGAACCAGCCAAGUAGCGUGAAGGAUGACUGCCCUAUGGGUUGUAAACUUCUUUUAUAUGGGAAUAAAACGUUCCACGUGUGGGAUUUUGUAUGUACCAUAUGAAUAAGGAUCGGCUAACUCCGUGCCAGCAGCCGCGGUAAUACGGAGGAUCCGAGCGUUAUCCGGAUUUAUUGGGUUUAAAGGGAGCGUAGGUGGAUUGUUAAGUCAGUUGUGAAAGUUUGCGGCUCAACCGUAAAAUUGCAGUUGAAACUGGCAGUCUUGAGUACAGUAGAGGUGGGCGGAAUUCGUGGUGUAGCGGUGAAAUGCUUAGAUAUCACGAAGAACUCCGAUUGCGAAGGCAGUUCACUGGACUGCAACUGACACUGAGGCUCGAAAGUGUGGGUAUCAAACAGGAGUAGAUACCCUGGUAGUC